rnacentral:misc_RNA from 1 species
GAUGAAGAACGUAGCGAAAUGCGAUAAGUAAUGCGAAUUGCAGAAUUCAGUGAGUCAUCGAAUCUUUGAACGCACAUUGCGCCCUGUGGUAUUCCGCAGGGCAUGCCUGUUCGAGCGUCAUUUCAACCCUCAAGCCUCGCUUGCUGUUGGGCCCUGCCCGCCGCGGCCGGCCCUAAAGAUAGUGGCGGCGCCGCCUGGCCCUCAGCGUAGUACAGCUCUCGCUCCAGGGUCCGGCGGCAGCCUGCCAGAACCCCCCAACUCUGUGGUUGACCUCGGAUCAGGUAGGGAUACCCGCUGAACUUAAGCAUAUCAAUAAGCGGAGGA